GACGAACGCUGGCGGCGUGCUUAACACAUGCAAGUCGAACGGUGACGGAGAGCUUGCUCUCCUGAUCAGUGGCGAACGGGUGAGUAACACGUGGGCAACCUGCCCCUGACUUCGGGAUAACGCUUCGAAAGAGGUGCUAAUACCGGAUAUGAACUCUUCAGGCAUCUGCGGAGUUGGAAAGUUUUUCGGUCAGGGAUGGGCCCGCGGCCUAUCAGCUUGUUGGUGAGGUAACGGCUCACCAAGGCGACGACGGGUAGCCGGCCUGAGAGGGCGACCGGCCACACUGGGACUGAGACACGGCCCAGACUCCUACGGGAGGCAGCAGUGGGGAAUAUUGCGCAAUGGGCGAAAGCCUGACGCAGCAACGCCGCGUGGGGGAUGAAGGCCUUCGGGUUGUAAACCCCUUUCAGCAGGGAAGAAGCGAAAGUGACGGUACCUGCAGAAGAAGCACCGGCUAACUACGUGCCAGCCGCCGCGGUAAAAC
rnacentral:rRNA from 1 species